UCUGAAGCGGAUUCUCAUACUUCCCCAUUGAGAUGAAUAAUCAGAGUCCGUUCUCAUCGGUGUGUGUGUUUUCCCCACACCAGAAACGUCCGUGUGACCCAGAGACACAGCCAUUCUGACAACGCUGAGAGCAGCAAAACCCUCAGCUCUUAUGGACGCUCAGAUCCAUUUACUUGAGGGAGGAACUAAAACCAAAUCGCCUUCUUUUGAGAAAGGGAGAAUAAUCGCCACCUCCAAGUGUCUACCCCAGCACAGCGAUACGAAUGAGCCUGAGGCCAGUCCUGGUCAGGAGAGGACAGCAUCCUGGCUUCUAAGCAAAGGCUGCUGCAGGUCUGAAGAGCAGGAGGUAGGAGCCAUGCUGGCCCAACAUCAAAGGUUUGGCCACUCAGCACACUGUCCAGACAUCUCCUGUCUUUCCCACCCUCCCCACAUGGUGCCAUGCUCAAGUGGAUAUUCAUCACAACCUCUCUCCUAUCACCCCCGGCUCACCCCCAUCUCUGGCUCUGGUAGGGAACUUUCUCCACCAGAAGUGCCUCAUACCCAGGUCAUUCUUCCUUACCCUGCCUCUGACAGGAGUCACCCAUCAGAACCCUCCUAGGGUCCACCAUCCCACAGUCCUGUCUGUGCACAUCAUCCCAGCCUUUCCCAGAUUCUUGUCUGCUCUGGACUACGUUCUUGUACAGCUUGUAUGGCUGUGAGGGAAAGGGUGAGGCGGGGUAAAUGCUCCCCAAACAGCUCUCCAAGAUACACCUCUUGUACUUUCUCAUAGUUCCCACAGGGCUUUGCCACACACAAAGCCUAUUUAGUAACUGGAUGGCAGAGAACUAAGCAAACCAAUUUCUUUCUUCCUACCUAGAGGUCCUAUUUUUACUCUGCUCCCAGAUGCCUCUUCUUCAUGAACAACCUCCUCUCCAAGAACAGAUUCCUGACUCAUGACAGCAGCUCCUGCAAUCUCUGUCAGUGCUCCCCCCUCUAGAUACUCCCCUUCUCUCUCAGUGCUCCUCCUCUCUCAGUGCUCCCCCCCUCCGUGCUCCUCCUCUUCUCUCAGUGCUCCCCCCUCUCAGUGCACCUCCUCUUCUCUCAGUGCUCCUCCUCUCUUGGCGCUCCUCUCAGAGGCCAGCGCAUCACUGUAAAGCUUAGAGACAAUCAUGCCACAGAAGACAAAACAAGUCUGUCUGUCAUCAUCCCUAGGACUCUGCUGGUUCCAUGGAUGGGGAGAUGAGGGGAAUCCUGGUCAGAGGUCAGUGACAACAAGGUCCCCUCAAACUCAUGACUCACCAUCUGAGAAGGUGGGCCCCUUUCUUUCCCAAGCCCUCAUUCUCCCUGUCGCUGUUGUUGGGUAACUUCGCACUGAUACCCCUCAUAAGAUAAAAUAACCCUGGUCUGAUGGCCUUGUAACCAGUCCUUUCUCUGGCUCUCCUCCUCCCCCUGGAAGGACGUGGGACACCAAGAGGUGACCUUGGAGCUCAGAAAGUGACUCACACGACACAAGAACCCAUUAGGCAGAGCUAGCAUCCAAGAGACUGAGAAAGGCUUUCUGGAAUCAUCCAAAGGGAUUUGUACAGUCAAAAGUUCCCAAUCAGAAAAACAAGGCCAAACGAAGAUCUGCUGUGAGGGGAAGAGGAAGCUUGACCCAAGCUGCGGGUCAAGGCUGGCUUGUGAAGGAAAUACAGGGAGCAAUGCUGGCUUACAGACCAAGGGCAGGAGCAGGCAACACAGGUCUCUCUACCCACGACAUUGAAGAGGCUGGCCCCAGCCCUCUGAAGCAGAAGAUUCCUGAAAUACCUGCAGCUUGUCUGAUGCACAUACCACUGCCAGGGCACCUCAUCCCAGUGUAGUCAAAGGCAACCAAGUACAGGGACCUGGAUGGCACAAGAGACCUGGUGCAUGUGGCCUGUCGUCAGAGACCAGGACAGACCAAGACAGGCUCUAGGCCCUCCCUAUCACCUUCUAAUUGUAAACCCUGACCACUCGGGGCAGGGUUUUCCCAGGGACCCUUGGAAACAUUUGGAAAAGUCUCUGUAUCUCUAUCUCUUCGUGUGUGUUGAGGGUGGAGACUCUAUAUGUGUGCAUGUGUGCAAUGAGCGUGUGGAGGCCACAGAUGGGCAAUGGGUGCCUUCCUCCUACAACUGUACACCUUACCUGUUGAGACAGGGCUUCUCACUGGACCUGAAGUGUACCCGUCUGCACUCACGACCACCGCCACCAACAACAACCAAUCACCAACAUCACCACCACUACCACCGCUGCCAUCACCACCAGAAUAACAGGUGCAUGCAGCAGUGCCAUCACCACUACAGCCGCCACUGCCACCACCAGAGUGACCGGCGCAUGUAGCCAUGCCUGGCUUUUCUGAGGGUGCUGGGGAUUUGAACUCAGAUCCUCAUGCUUGUGUAGUAAGAACUCUGUUCACUGAUCUGUCUCCCUAGUCCCCACCUUGGUGUGGUGUGGGUCACAAGACAACUUCAGCUGUCAGUCUCAAGAAGGCCAACCAUCUCAUUUGAGAACUUUUACAGUUCAGAAGGGCCCUAGUGAGGCUAAACUGGCCCAUGAUCUCCAGGGAUCUGCCUGUACCCACCUCGCCAGCCCUGAGAUUGCAAAUGCACGGCCCACACCUGGCAUUUCUGCAUGGAUUCUGGGAUUCUAGUCUUCAGGUUUGCAAGACAAGUGCUUUAUUGCUUCAGCCAUCACCCCCAAACCCCUAACUUUCUUUUCCAACUGAUACUUAAUCUCAGCCACCGGCUCUCAGACUCACAUUUCCUAAAAGUUCCCUAUGGAUCCCUAUGUUCACGGCAUUUCUAAACCACGGAGGAAAGGUUAUCUAAUUCUCUUUUUAUUGUUCCAAAAUUCAGUUGUCUCAGUUCUUCAUCAGGUCUAGAAGGCCAUGCAGCAUCCUUCUGGGCUCCCCUGACUCAAUGAAAGGAAGAUUCCUUUUCUAUCGAGAACCCAAGCCCACCUGCCUGCGGGGAGCUAAGGAUGCCUGGAAUGAGGCUGGCCAAAUGCGACCUGCUCUGCACACGUGGCAGCCUCACAACGAUCUUGAUCAGUUUCCUCUCCACAUUUGCACUGUUACGGCUCCACAAGCAGCUGCCACCCCAGUCCUCCCAUGUCUGGGGCACUUAAGGUUCUUAUUUUCUUUCAAUAUCGGAAAGUCCUUUAAAUGUCCCCAAUUUUGCAAUCCUUUGCAUCAGCAGAUGCUUGGGUGUAUGUGGGGGGUGGGAGGUUGGAGGAAGCAGUCAGGCUUCUGGGACCCGGGCCAGAGCUCUUAUCCAAGGUCAACGCUGGCAGUCAAGGCAGGGGAGGGAAAGAAGGAAGUGAUACCCAGUGAGAGACCCCGGGAGCGUCUUCCCACAGCCAUGCAGACUGCAAGCCUCGGGCUGAGAGCCGCUGCCUGUCCUAGCUUCGUCAUGGGGGUCCCCAUCAUCUCACUUUCAUACGUGUAUAGGACGAAUUCCAAUCGCACGCACUUCUCCACCCUGCCUUGUCGUUCCCCCCCCCCCCAACCAUCCCCUUCCCCCUCCCCAGGCCCUAUCCCAUUUUUACGUCAUUUUAUUUUUCUUUGUAACUCCCCGGGUUUACAUGGACUCGCUCAUACGGGACCGGAUAUAAGUAACCAAUGGAUUGUGAGCAAACUCAGCAACCGCUGUUUCACAGAAGACAAUAAUUCCUUUUCUCUAUCCGUCCUCUGUUGCCAUUACUCUCGGGGCGGGGAUAGGAACCCAUGUGUCUCUCCCCCAUCUGUGGCUGACCUUUAUUGGCUCAGUUUUCUGCCACCUGCUAUGGGUUUGUGAGUGCCACCCCAAUGUCAUAGCCAGAGCACUGACGUUUCACUGUGGUUCUGGUCCUUUGACUAUCUUUCCACCCCUCCAGAGAGGGAAGUUUUUGUUUAGGGUUUUUCCAGGCAAGUUGAGAAAAACUACCACUAAGACCAGGAGCAGGGCUAGAAAUACGGAAUGACUUGGGCCUUUCACCCUGAGGAGCAGGACAGGCCUGUAAGACAGGCUGAGCAAUCCUAACCCAAACAUGCAAAACCCAAGAAGUCGGGGGCUCUUUUGAGAAACAACAUGACAGUCAGAAAAUUCAAUACCACAAAACUUUAUGCGCACACACAAAAAACCAUUUACAAUGCUGUAAAAAAAUUACUCUCUGGAUGUGUUUGUAAGGUACAUGCAUUUAGAUUUAGGUUCCACCCCCAAGACAGCUCUUUAUUUUUUAAAUUUAAUUUCUCCCUUGCAUUUUCUUCCACAAAACCUUACCAUAUACCCCUGCCUGUUCUCACUCAGAUUCAUGGUGUCUUCUUUUUUAAUUAAUUAAUUUAUAUUUUUUAUUAGUUUUAUUGAGUUAUAUAUUUUUCUCCACUCCCCUCCCUUCUUCCCCUCUCCCCUCUACCCUUUUUCCCAUGGUCCCCAUGCUCCCAAUUUACUCAGAAGAUCUUGUCUUUUUCAACAUCCCAUGUAAUUUAGAACCACAUAUAAGACAGCUCCUUAUGUAUAUGAAAAUAAUUGUGAAAUUUGAACUCCAAGGUACCCUGAUCCUAGGCAUUCUGGAUGAGGACUACUGAACCUCUACUCUCUUCUGAGGCACACAUGCCCACGAAGCAUGCCGACUAAGGGACAGGUGUCUCUUUGGCCGAGCCCUCUGCUCUAGAUGCCUCCCUCGGGCUCUGCUGGAUUUGAAAGGCUGAAUCCACUGCCAGCCCAGCCCACUCUGCAAAGAUGCUGUGCACAGCUCUUCUUAAGGGCCAAAAUGCUUAUGCCACCGAUGUCUGUUAGUUGAGAUCAUUUAUACACACAUACAGAGAGAGUGACAGAGACAGAGAGACAGAUACACACAGGAGAGAGAGAGAGAGAGAGAGAGAGAGAGAAACUGUCCCUGAGUAAACCCCCCCCCCAUGGAUGGAAAUAUCCAGUUUUCUGGGAAUUAUGGAAGAGCAAAUCCCUUUGGGAUUAGAGUAAAAUGAGGUCUGGCUUGGAAUAAGGUCUGGGACCUGGAGAUUUGGCUCACUCCCUAGAAGUGUCAUGCCAGCAGGCAGAAUCUGGAGCAGCCAGAUUGGCUGACCAACUGCUUGAUUCUCCUGCCACGGAGAGCUCUCCACAGGCAGAUGCCCAGUAGGUUCACAGACCUGUCGCCCGCCAGACUAUUUCUGUCUCAGGGAGACACACGUACUCUGGACAAAGACCAAUGCGUCAGGCUUCCCCUUUCUUCUUUUAGAGUUCUUUUUCUUGGUAGUGGUGGUGCAUACACGCUUGUGUACCUGCAUUGUGUGUGUGCAUAUGCGUGUAUGUGUGUGUGUGUGUGUGUGUGUGUGUGUGUGUGUGUGUGUAAGUGUAUCUGAGGAUCAAACUCUGGGCCCCAAUAAGGGAGGCAAAUGCUCUAGCAAAGGCCAGCCCCUCGGUGCCAGCUUUUAACAGCAUUAUCCUGUAUUUCCUCUGGGCCUUGUAUGUGCUGGGACAGUCCAGUUAAUCACUUCACUCAGGAUGCUGGCAAAACGUCAGCCAAGCUCUCUCCAGAAGUUCUGUUGUAAAUACAGGUGAAGCGUGCGUGAUAUGCAAAUACAUUUACUACUCAUCUUUUCCCGUCUAAAUCAAAAUUUUAUUUACUGAAUUUUUAUUGACAUAAUUAUAGAUUCUAAGAAAUAACACCAGAGGGGAGUGAGAGAUGGCUCAGUCAGUAAAGACUCUGCUGUAAAGGCACAGGGACCUGAGCUCAGAUCCCCACACCUAUGUUUAAAAAAAAAAAAGAUGGGUGCAGCGGUGUGUACAUCUAAGGCACAGAGAGGAAGGUCCAACCAACUUGGUGAGAGAUCUUGUGUCAAAAAUCAAGUUAGGGAGCCACUGAAGAAGACAAUCCUGAUGUCUACUCUCCGCACACAUCACCACCACCUUUGUUUUGUUUGCUUGUUUUUCAAGACAGGGUUUCUCAGCCUUGGCUGUCCUAGAACUUGCUCUGUAGACCAAGCUGGCCUCAAACUCAAAGAGGUCUGCCUGCCCUCUGCUUCCCAAAUGCUGGGAUUAAAGGCAUGUGCCACCAGUGAUGGGAUCACAUCACUGCCUUAAGAAGGGCAUUGUAGUGGGCAUCUUCUCCAUUCCUAGUAGUCAAGCAGACUAAGGCAA